AUUUCACCCCUGGAGAGUAAAGUCAUCUGUUUAUCCACAGAACAGACACAGCAUGGGGAUUGGCUGUAUAUGGUUUUGCACAACGUCUUGUCGUGUACUUUAAACAUGGGCCAGAAGGAACAUUUCUAAUGAUAAAAAGGGUAAUUCAGAUGUUAUGAGCAUUACUUUCCUGGCUUCU
rnacentral:sRNA from 1 species